CUGGUUGAUCCUGCCAGAGGUUACUGCUAUCGAGGUUCGACUAAGCCAUGCGAGUCGAAUGUAGCAAUACAUGGCGUACUGCUCAGUAACACGUGGACAACCUGCCCUUAGGUCGGGUAUAAACCCGGGAAACUGGGUAUAAUCCCCGAUAGAUCUCGGCUGCUGGAAUGCAUCGAGAUUGAAAGCUCCGGCGCCUAAGGAUGGGUCUGCGGCCUAUCAGGUAGUAGUGGGUGUAGCGUACCUACUAGCCUACGACGGGUACGGGUUGUGAGAGCAAGAGCCCGGAGAUGGAUUCUGAGACACGAAUCCAGGCCCUACGGGGUGCAGCAGGCGCGAAAACUUUACAAUGCUGGCAACAGCGAUAAGGGAACCUCGAGUGCCAGGUUACAAAUCUGGCUGUCGAGAUGCCUAACAAGCAUUUCAUAGCAAGGGCCGGGCAAGACCGGUGCCAGCCGCCGCGAUAACACCGGCGGCUCGAGUGGUAACCGCUAUUAUUGGGUCUAAAGGGUCUGUAGCCGGCCGGAUAAGUCUCUUGAGAAAUCUGGCAGCUUAACUGUCAGGCUUUCAGGAGAUACUGUCUGGCUCGAGGCCGGCAGAGGUGAGAGGUACUUCAGGGGUAGGGGUGAAAUCUUGUAAUCCUUGAAGGACCACCAGUGGCGAAGGCGUCUCACCAGAACGGACCUGACGGCAAGGGACGAAAGCUAGGGGCACGAACCGUAUUACAUACCCGGGUAGUCCUAGACGUAAACGAUACUCGCUAGGUGUCGGCCACGGUGCGACCGUUGUCGGUGCCGUAGGGAAACCGUGAAGCGAGCCACCUGGGAAGUACGGCCGCAAGGCUGAAACUUAAAGGAAUUGGCGGGGGAGCACCAC
rnacentral:rRNA from 1 species